UCACGCCCCCGGGCCCGCGCCCGCCGAAGACACCCCCGAACUCUGUCUGAAGAUUGAAGUCUGAGUGAAAAUAUAAAUUAUUUAAAACUUUCAACAACGGAUCUCUUGGUUCCGGCAUCGAUGAAGAACGCAGCGAAAUGCGAUACGUAAUGUGAAUUGCAAAUUCAGUGAAUCAUCGAGUCUUUGAACGCACAUUGCGCCCCCUGGUAUUCCGGGGGGCAUGCCUGUCCGAGCGUCAUUGCUGCCCUCAAGCCCGGCUUGUGUGUUGGGCCCCGUCCUCCGAUUCCGGGGGACGGGCCCGAAAGGCAGCGGCGGCACCGCGUCCGGUCCUCGAGCGUAUGGGGCUUUGUCACCCGCUCUGUAGGCCCGGCCGGCGCUUGCCGAUCAACCCAAAUUUUUAUCCAGGUUGACCUCGGAUCAGGUAGGGAUACCCGCUGAACUUAAGCAUAUCAAUAA
rnacentral:rRNA from 1 species